rnacentral:rRNA from 1 species
GUGGGGAAUAUUGGACAAUGGGGGGAACCCUGAUCCAGCCAUGCCGCGUGUGUGAAGAAGGCCUUUUGGUUGUAAAGCACUUUAAGUGGGGAGGAGGCUUACCUGGUUAAUACCUGGGCUAAGUGGACGUUACCCACAGAAUAAGCACCGGCUAACUCUGUGCCAGCAGCCGCGGUAAUACAGAGGGUGCGAGCGUUAAUCGGAUUUACUGGGCGUAAAGCGCGCGUAGGUGGUGAAUUAAGUCAAAUGUGAAAUCCCCGAGCUUAACUUGGGAAUUGCAUUCGAUACUGGUUGGCUAGAGUAUGGGAGAGGAUGGUAGAAUUCCAGGUGUAGCGGUGAAAUGCGUAGAGAUCUGGAAGAAUACCGAUGGCGAAGGCAGCCAUCUGGCCUAAUACUGACACUGAGGUGCGAAAGCAUGGGGAGCAAACAGGAUUAGAUACCCUGGUAGUCC